UUCUUUUCUUUCUAUUUUCUGUCUCCUUUGAGGCAGCUCAAAUGUCAUUUCUUGCUAUUAAAACAUUGCUUAAUCCAUUUUAUGUCUCAGUGUGGGGUAUGAGAGAGCAACGGCAGGCAUCUUCUCUCUCUGUCCCCUACAUCCAGCAGCCUGUGCAUUUCUCUCUCCCAGCCCCAAUCAUACUGAAUUAUAAUGAUCACAUUUACUCAUCUGCUUCCUUAUCUUGGGAGUGAGCUCUUAAGAUUCCUUUCUGUGUCUAAGGAUACUUGUAUCCCCAGAGCUCAGCUUGGGGGAUGAGAAACACCACAUAGAAGACAUUCAGUGAAGUUUUAGAGUUAGAUGCCUUUCUCAUGGUGGGAGAUGAAAGAAGAAAUGAGUUUUAAGUUCUAAUAUGAGCUCUAGGGUACCUCAGUUAUGUAUCUAGUGGCAAAAUUCAACCAACCUAUACUUUAGCUUUCUCAAUUUGGACAAAAUGGGCCAAUUCUCCAAACCCCCUCUAAUCUGGCCCAAUAGCAAGGAAGUAUCAUGACAGGGGAACCACAUGGGCAUUGGGAGUGGUGCUCUGAUCAUGUACAAGAAACAAUUAAUUCUACAGGCUUCCAGAAGAGGCACCAUGUAAGUUCCAACUGAUCCCCCAAAGUAAUCCUGUUCUCUGAAGUAUUAUGUAAAGGAAUUUCUAUUACCUGCUGAGAAAGGCAUGAAGUAGUCACUUUUCUUAAAGUUGCCACUCUCAUCCAGAAAGUGGCCAGGGUCAAACUGCUCUGGGUUGGAGAAUUCCUUGCUGUCAUGCAGCACAGAUGUCAGGAAUGGUAAGAUGGUUGUGCCCUGGAAACCACAAACAUAGAUAAACCAAAGUAUAAAGAAGUCACGGAACUGGAAGAAACAAUGAAUAAGCAAUUGGUGAUCCAGUGAAGUGAAGUGUCAUCAAUGCAGGAAUAUGUGCUGGCUUCAAGUGAAACGGAGUAGCUGGUAGUGCAGCAACUAAAAAGUCUGAAGUAACACAGAAACCAUGUGUUAGAAAGCAUUACAAGCUGCUGACACAAAACCUAAUCUCACGAUUCCAGAGAUCGGGAACCUCAGAGAGGUCAGCUGACGGCUGACGGCUACAGUCAAGUUUUCACUAUGUUUGUAUCCAAUUCUCACUCAAGGCAGGAGACAUUUAAUUGUUUGCCUAGUGAGGGAGGAAUAAACCUUUUCC